rnacentral:pre_miRNA from 1 species
AGGUAACUAUUAUGAUGAUGAUGAUGAUGAUGAUGAUGAUGAUCAUCAUCAUCAUCAUCAUCAUCAUCAUCAUCAUCAUCAUUACUU